rnacentral:rRNA from 1 species
GAUGAACGCUGGCGGCGUGCCUAAUACAUGCAAGUCGAGCGAACAGACGAGGAGCUUGCUCCUCUGACGUUAGCGGCGGACGGGUGAGUAACACGUGGAUAACCUACCUAUAAGACUGGGAUAACUUCGGGAAACCGGAGCUAAUACCGGAUAAUAUAUUGAACCGCAUGGUUCAAUAGUGAAAGACGGUUUUGCUGUCACUUAUAGAUGGAUCCGCGCCGCAUUAGCUAGUUGUUAAGGUAACGGCUUACCAAGGCGACGAUGCGUAGCCGACCUGAGAGGGUGAUCGGCCACACUGGAACUGAGACACGGUCCAGACUCCUACGGGAGGCAGCAGUAGGGAAUCUUCCGCCGUGGGCGCGCGCCUGCCGGCGCGCCGCCGCGUGAGUGAUGAAGGUCUUCGGAUCGUAAAACUCUGUUAUUAGGGAAGAACAAAUGUGUCCGUAACUAUGCCCGUCUUGCCGGUCCCUGAUCCGAAAGCCACGGCUCCCUACGUG